rnacentral:rRNA from 1 species
GCUGACGAGUGGCGGACGGGUGAGUAAUGUCUGGGAAACUGCCUGAUGGAGGGGGAUAACUACUGGAAACGGUAGCUAAUACCGCAUAACGUCGCAAGACCAAAGAGGGGGACCUUCGGGCCUCUUGCCAUCGGAUGUGCCCAGAUGGGAUUAGCUAGUAGGUGGGGUAACGGCUCACCUAGGCGACGAUCCCUAGCUGGUCUGAGAGGAUGACCAGCCACACUGGAACUGAGACACGGUCCAGACUCCUACGGGAGGCAGCAGUGGGGAAUAUUGCACAAUGGGCGCAAGCCUGAUGCAGCCAUGCCGCGUGUAUGAAGAAGGCCUUCGGGUUGUAAAGUACUUUCAGCGGGGAGGAAGGGAGUAAAGUUAAUACCUUUGCUCAUUGACGUUACCCGCAGAAGAAGCACCGGCUAACUCCGUGCCAGCAGCCGCGGUAAUACGGAGGGUGCAAGCGUUAAUCGGAAUUACUGGGCGUAAAGCGCACGCAGGCGGUUUGUUAAGUC